CAUCCACAUCCAUGUCGAGAGUAUCUUUAAUUCUGCAUGAGAGCGCCCUUCCUUCGAUUGAUCCAGGUAUGCGACUAGUCUUAAUUCCCUGCUCCUCCUGUUCUUUUUCCUUCCUGUCUUCCAAAGAACAUGUAGGAAGGAAAGGAAACAUGAGAUAAACUUAACAUUCCUGGAUAAAUUGAAGGAAGAACGGUUAUAUGCGAAAUCAGCUGCCGAAACGCUUUCACCACAUCGUAAAAGCUGGUUUAAAUUAUGUGUGAUCACAGUAGGAAUUUAACAUAGGUAAAUUAAGUUGUGAAAGAUUUGCAAAAAAUGUUUGAGGGAACUGACUUGGUGUCAAUGAGUUUGUUCCCUGAAACAGUUCUUACAAAUCCAAAGAAUUUACCUAUACAAAAUUGCUACUGUGAUCACAGGAACCUAAUUGAGUGGUGCAAAUCAGCGUUAAGCCAGUUUUCUACUUUAAGCCAGUUUUCCACAUCAAUCGUAACGGAACGUGGCGUAUUUCUUUGUUUCCUGAGUACUAGAGUGGAACUAAUGACUUCGACACAAAAGAAAAUGCUACGAUACGUUAUAAUUACGGUCAGUGAACUAUAUAUAUAUAUAUAUAUAUCUGGAACGAUAACAUUCAGUCAUUUGAUUGUGAAAACAAUGAAGUCUCGAUACCAGUCUUUCACGCGGAUUGGACGUCAGUCUCAGUCCCUCAAACGUCAGGUUUACGCGGAUUGGACGUCAGUUUCAUUCCCCCUCUGCAAACCGUUGCACGACCAGUAUAAAUUUGAACGCAAUCACGAAAAAAAAUUUAAAACAUGGCCAACUCAAUGCAAUACAUUAUAGGAGCAAAAAGUUUUGCUCCUAAAAUUUACUGCAUUGAGUUCGCUGUCGGAAAAAAAGUCGAGGAAAACUUCCCCGUCUAGAGAAAAGAAUCACUUUUUCAAAUAUAUUGUGUCGUACUGUCGUUCUGGAUGCACAAGGAAAGAGAUAUUCUUGCGAGAAAAUUUCAUUUCACAAGUAGGUAAAUUGACUUGCAACUGUGACUUUGCCGUUGCCAUUUUUUGCGAUUGUUUGAAUUGUUUUUUAGUUUGCCAGUUUUAUAGUUUUUAGUCAAUACACUGGUACAUUAUUUUUUAAAGAAUUUAUUGUGUGAUCGGAAUUUGCCUGCCAGCAAAAUGUAAAUGAAUAUGUACGUGUGUUUGAAUAUAAAUUAGACCAUAUGGGCUUAG